AGGACGAACGCUGGCGGCGUGCUUAACACAUGCAAGUCGAGCGGAAAGGCCCUUCGGGGUGCUCGAGCGGCGAACGGGUGAGUAACACGUGAGCAACCUGCCCCUGGCUCUGGGAUAGCCUCCGGAAACGGGGAUUAAUACCGGACAUUCACUUCCUUCCGCAUGGUUGGUGGUGGAAAGUUUUUCGGCCGGGGAGGGGCUCGCGGUCUAUCAGCUUGUUGGCGGGGUAACGGCCCACCAAGGCGACGACGGAUAG
rnacentral:rRNA from 1 species